rnacentral:rRNA from 1 species
AGAAUCAACGCUGGCGGCGUGCCUAACACAUGCAAGUCGAACGCGAAAGUCCCGCAAGGGAUCAGUAGAGUGGCAAACGGGUGAGUAACGCGUGGGUGACCUGCCUUCGAGUGGGGGAUAACGUUCCGAAAGGGACGCUAAUACCGCAUGACAUCCUGCCUUUGAAGAGGUGGAGAUCAAAGCUGGGGAUCGCAAGACCUAGCACUCGAGGAGGGGCCCGCGCCUGAUUAGCUAGUUGGUGAGGUAACGGCUCACCAAGGCUUCGAUCAGUA